CUGAUGCUAUAAGUGAAAACUACAGAAUCAUGAGUUACUUUAAAGAAGCAGAGUUGAAGGAUCUCCUUUUGCAAGUUGGCCGAGGCUUGAGGUAUAUUCAUUCAAUGUCUUUGGUUCACAUGGAUAUAAAACCUAGUAAUAUUUUCAUAUCUCGAACCUCAAUCCCAAAUGCUGCCUCUGAAGAAGGAGACGAAGAUGAUUGGGCAUCCAACAAAGUUAUGUUUAAAAUAGGUGAUCUUGGGCAUGUAACAAGGAUCUCCAGUCCACAAGUUGAAGAGGGCGAUAGUCGUUUUCUUGCAAAUGAAGUUUUACAGGAGGUAAUUUUUCUUCUCCCUUAAUCAUAGUUUGCUUUGUAACACUUAGCAGUUGAUAGAAGAAUAUAAAUUCAGAUAUAUUAAACUUUGAAGUUAACUAAUAGAAUGGAAAUAAAAUCUAAACCGUCAUCUGAGGGCAUUUAAUAAGCAAAAAGUCAUGAAGGCAAAGAUUUAUAAUGGAGUUGUCGUAAAAAAUAUGUUCUCAUACACCACUGGUGGAACUUUAUAAUGGCAUAUCCUUUUUGGAGAUCAGAGUAUUAGUAUUGCAUUAAUAUUUAAAAAUCAUGUACCCAUUGACUCAUAAUUUUCACUUCUAGGAGUUUUUCCUAUAGAACUAUUCAUAUACAAAUACAAGUUGAGAACAGUGUAAAUAAGUGUUUACUAAUAAGAGAAUGAUUAAGUAAAUUAUGGCACAUAGUUAUUAGUAUGGCCUAUAGUUUCAAAAGAGUGUGACAGUAUUUCUUGAUAAAAAUUUUGAAUGAAAAUAGAAUAAGUAGAAAAAUAUAAAGUGUAAUUGUCUGAUCCCAUUGCUCUUUGUAAAUAUGUGUAUAUAUAUGUUUGCUUUAUCACGUAUAUGUGUAUUUGUAACUUGUCAGUGUGUUUCUACGUGUUUUGUGUUUGCAUAUGAAUGCCUAGAGGUAGAGGGAUUUCUUUUGAGAGUUGAAUUGGGCUGUUGAUAAAGAAGAGGCAUUUACUCUUAUCUAUGUGUUUGCAUUUUUCCCCCAAGAGUGUGUAUUACUUUGUAAUUUAAAAAAUAAACAUCCUCAAAUUUAGCAGUUUAUUCUCUGAAUAGGUCCCAAACUUAAAUGUGGUAUUAGACACUUUGAUUAAGUCCUAUUUUUCACCUAAGUCAUCUUUGAGGUGUAAUCUUGUUUUAUUUUGACCAUGUUUACAUUCCUUUAAAAAAUUGUUUUAAUUUUACAGAAUUAUACCCAUCUACCAAAAGCAGAUAUUUUUGCGCUUGCCCUCACAGUGGUAUGUGCUGCUGGUGCUGAACCUCUUCCGAGAAAUGGAGAUCAAUGGCAUGAAAUCAGACAGGGUAGAUUACCUCGGAUAC
rnacentral:lncRNA from 1 species